rnacentral:rRNA from 1 species
UGAGGAAUAUUGGUCAAUGGGCGAGAGCCUGAACCAGCCAAGUAGCGUGCAGGAUGACGGCCCUAUGGGUUGUAAACUGCUUUUGUAUGGGGAUAAAGUCAAUCACGUGUGAUUGUUUGCAGGUACCAUACGAAUAAGGACCGGCUAACUCCGUGCCAGCAGCCGCGGUAAUACGGAAGGUCCGGGCGUUAUCCGGAUUUAUUGGGUUUAAAGGGAGCGUAGGCUGGAGAUUAAGUGUGUUGUGAAAUGUAGACGCUCAACGUCUGACUUGCAGCGCAUACUGGUUUCCUUGAGUANGCNCANAGNGUUGGCGGAAUUCGUCGUGUAGCGGUGAAAUGCUUAGAUAUGACGAAGAACUCCGAUUGCGAAGGCAGCUGACGGGAGCGCAACUGACGCUGAAGCUCGAAGGUGCGGGUAUCGAACAGGAUUAGAUACCCUGGUAGUCCGCACAGUAAACGAUGGAUGCCCGCUGUUGGUACCUGGUAUCAGCGGCUAAGCGAAAGCAUUAAGCAUCCCACCUGGGGAGUACGCCGGNNCGG